GCCAAUGACGAGCCAGUGCGCCGACGUUGUCCGGUCUUGUCCUUAGCAUGUGGAAGAGGAUGUCGGGCAAAUGGCCUCCUCUUAUCACUGUCCUCAUCUCAAUGAGAGGAAGAUAAGGCACAGAGACGCGCUCGGCCGCCUGAACACCAACUCUGGAUCCAGAGCCGCCCUCUACAAUCUCACUGAAUCCAGCCAUCUCUCCGGUGAGGCAGCGACCAUCCCUUCGUCACAGUCUGAAUAUAGCCUCCGUCGGCGAUGGUAGACGAAAUCCGAAGGCCUCCAACUCGAAUGCUCUGACCCAGACAUCCAAGGUGAGCCUCCAGUUCCUGCAAGGUACCUAAAGGUCAGGACAUACGCACAACACUUCAGUGGUGCAGUCUGGACAACAAGAAUAACCAGAAUUGUGUCACGCCACAUUCAGAUGAUGGUUCAGAUGCAGAUAAUGGCUGGUAAAGUGGACCACUUCUAUGUGAUCAAUAUGGAAACAAUAUGGUGCUUAUAAACAUUAUUAGCAAUUUUUUCAGGUAUAAGCAUUCGGCUGAACUUACCCUGAUGUGACUAUUUAAAACAUGCAGGCUCACCUGUUUAUGUCCUUAGCAUUGAAGGGUGGAGGCACGAAUACUUUGGAUCACAAGAGACAGCAUUGGAAUUAUGGAAUUUGAAUGGAUUGAGUACAUCAAGAUGAAGAAAUUAACGUAAUAAGCGAUAUUCUCAAAAGAUUCGGUCAUGCCAGAAACCUCAGUGUGCAUGGCACUAAAAAAGGGUACAAAGAACCUGAGAUGCAAGUAAUGGCUGAAUAGCCGGGGAAACACUAAAUAAAGACGUUAAUUCGCAUCAUCCUGUUGUGUAGGGGCCUCGCCGAUGAUCAAAGUCAGCUGCCAAGGUGGAUCAUUGGAGACCAGAAGUUGCAGUGUCAUCGGUGUUGUAUAGUAGCUUGGUUGACGACGGCCAAUGGAUUGUACAUAUUGGUUCAUUUUGUGUAUACAAUACAAGGUGCUCAUUGUAAAAAAAAUAUUCAUCCAUUUUUUGUGGGCAACAAAAAAUGAAUAUUUUUUGUUGGCCUAUGUUUUUUCAGAUAGAGGAGGCCUUUGUUAAUGGAUAUAGGAUUGGGCAACAUACACAUGGGUUCAGCCGGUAAAUCAAGGUUGAGAAGGUUGUAGCAUGUGCUGCUGCUUGCUUGUUGUGUGCGGGAUGUAUUGUUCUUGUAAUUUUAAUUUUUUCAUAGUUCAUACAUGUAAUUAACUAAUUAUAUUCAUUUUCAGGUUUAAAGAUUAUUUGCAGGAAUGAGAAAUAUAAUGUCUACUUGUACUUGAAUACUCAGCGAUAGAGAAAACAAUAUACUCUUAUUUCUUCUGUCCAUGUUAUGUUUUCUCCUAUAACUAUCAUGCUUGUUACACAGGUCUGAAUUCCUAAAGGUUCAGGAGGAUCUCACUAUUGCAAAACUAAAGAGAUAAGGAUUAGUACUAUAACAUUGUAGAAAAAGGUUAGCCCUGUCUUCUUGAAGAACAAGGCGACUCAAUUUCACCUCCAUUGACGAUUGU
rnacentral:lncRNA from 1 species